rnacentral:rRNA from 1 species
GACGAACCGUGCGAACGUUGUUCGGAAUCACUGGGCUUAAAGGGCGCGUAGGCGGUCUGUCAAGUCAGGGGUGAAAGCCUCCAGCUUAACUGGAGAAGUGCCUUUGAUACCGGCGGACUCGAGUGAGGUAGGGGUAGUGGGAACUUCCGGUGGAGCGGUGAAAUGCGUUGAUAUCGGAAGGAACGCCGGUGGCGAAAGCGCACUACUGGACCUCUUCUGACGCUGAGGCGCGAAAGCCAGGGGAGCAAACGGG